rnacentral:rRNA from 1 species
UACGUAGGGUGCAAGCGUUAAUCGGAAUUACUGGGCGUAAAGCGUGCGCAGGCGGUCCGCUAAGACAGAUGUGAAGUUCCCGGGCUUAACCUGGGAACUGCAUUUGUGACUGGCGGGCUAGAGUAUGGCAGAGGGGGGUAGAAUUCCACGUGUAGCAGUGAAAUGCGUAGAGAUGUGGAGGAAUACCGAUGGCGAAGGCAGCCCCCUGGGCCAAUACUGACGCUCAUGCACGAAAGCGUGGGGAGCAAACAGG